rfam:Pan troglodytes isolate Yerkes chimp pedigree #C0471 (Clint) chromosome 20, whole genome shotgun sequence.
UUCCAUCAGUGUUCAUAAGGAAUGUUGCUCUGUAGUUUUCUUAUAGUGUGGCUUUCUUAGAGCAAAGAUGGUU